ACUACCUUUCUCAGCUAGCCCUUACAUUUGUCUGGCUAACAGUAAAAAUACUAUAAUAAAUCGGUAACAUAUGUUGCCAGACAAGAAUAAGUGAUAUAAAUAAAGAGUCAAGAGACAUAGCCCCUCAAGAACAAUGUGAAAGAUUUAAACUUUCAAUGUAUUAAUUAAUCGAUUAACAUGUUAGAAGUAACUGGAGAGUGUUAUUCUGUUGUUUGUUAAUAUCAUUCCUUAUUUUUCUCUUCUUCUCUUCAGAUUGCAUUUUAAAUCAAAAUGUUCUCCGUGACUGCCUGCUUUGCAGCAUUAGGUGUUUUUAACAAAUGAACACUUCCCUGGGUUGAGCUGAUGACUGUACUGUAAAGGUGAAAAAACCUGCAUUUCUCAGUGACGGCAGGAUUUCAUUGGCAGAAAGGUACUGUCAGGCUAACUUCAUGGGACCAAGUUCUUGCUGAAUGGAGUUGUGCCAGCAGAGAACAUGGGUCAUAUGUUACCUGGUACAUCAUACAUAUCUUCUCCUUCCCCUUCUAUUUUGACCUUACUGAAGUUAAGUAUUUUCUUUACAAUAUGGCUGUAUAGUCAAAAACUUCUCUUGCAUAUUUAAAAAUUAAAAAUGCGGGAGUUUGCAUUACCAACGUCUAAGUUUUUCUUUGUGGCUGUCUCAUCCAAUUAUCAAAAAGGUACAGCAAUUCCUUUAAAAACACAGGUACAACAUACAUGAACCCACUGUUGAAACAUUCACAACUUGCAAAAAAGCCCUGUAGAUGUUCCCCAAUCAAGUUUACAUAUAUAUAAGUUCAUUGUCUUCCUAAAUAUUAUUCCACAAGCUUUAAGGCUGCUUAUAGAUAAAACACAUUCCAUAUAGUGGGUAUCAAAGGCCCUUUCAGAGAUUUAGAAUGAUCUUGUCAUUAAAAUAAUAAGCAGGACUGUAAAUUAAAAAAAAAAAAAAAAAGAGAGAAAAAGAAAAAUGUGAUUAUAUAACAGAUCCUGCAGUAAUCAAUUUUACCUCCGAUAUCUUGCUUUUGUUUUCAAAAUGCUAAAUAAACAAUACAUAAUGCAUCCCUCAUCAGCCAAAACCAUGAGGGCUCUGUGCUCAAAUAACAGGAAACAUAUUCAAUUUUCCUAACAGAAGACAGUUCAUUAAGCUGUGCCACAUCAAAUAAAACUUUAAUUUCUCCAGCAUCAGAGUCGCAAUGAAAGCAAUUGAGGAAGAUGAGCCAUAUGGUACUUCUAUCAGCAAACACAUAUUGCUCAUUCCCCCAAAGUUUUCUAAUUCUGCUCCCCAGACCUGUGUAAUAUAGAUAAUGUGCUCUGAGAGCAGCAACCAUGAGCUAUCUGGUGUACACUUCUAAUACUGUAUUUAAUGGGAAAUAAUGAAUCAUAAAAGCCUGCAGAAGACGGCUUUUGCUAACCUAAAUCUCAGCUGUAAUUUCAUUGUUCUGUGCCUAAGAUGCUGUUUGCCCUUUCCAAACAACAGCAGUUGAGCAUAAUUAUGCAGCUUCAAACCUGGGCUGGAGGAGAAAACCUUCAUAUUAUAACCAAGUUUCUGUUAACUCUUCAAAUUCUGAACUUGAUGUGACUCUAAUACCAAACUGAGAACUUUGGGUGAUGCUUUAGAGGUCAUAUAAAAAAGUAUAUAGAAAACCAUUCCAGUGGAUAACCACAUAAAUUAAACUUACGACUCCCAAAUCUGGCCCUAAAAGCAACAAGGGAUGUCAAUGUAAAAUUAGGAAAUCUGCUUGACCUGGAGAUAUCUGACAUUUAUUCAUCUACUAUAGUAUGUAAAAGUGCCACAACCAUAUAACACACUAAACAAAUUUUUUUUAGGUAUGUCUUUUUUUGUUGUUGCCAGACACGAAUGUUAGGGUUAGAUCUUUGAAUAAAUGCUUGAAGUAAAUUCUCUAAGUUUAAUAAUAUUCUUGCUUUUCUUAUGAUCUGUUUAACUCCAUUAUAAAGAUAAGGUUAGCAGUUUAAUAGCACUGGUGUAAUAUAUUUGCCCAUGUGUUUGCUUCACCUACAUGUUAGUAAACCUGGGUGUGGAUGAAGGAGUCAGUAUUUUAAAAGGAUGUCUGUAGGCAAGUCUAUAUACAUUAAUAUUUAUACACCUCAAACAAAUUAAGACUAAAAAAAAAUAACAUGGCUUAAUAAUGCUUGGAGAAUUUCUUAACCUCAUUUGAAGUCAUUUCUUUUCCCCCUGCCCAUCCAAAAUAAAAUAAAAAAUACAAGACUAAUUUCAAACAUUGUCUAGAUACACCAGUUAUACAUAUUGAAAACAUAUUUUAGUGGCUGUGUUUGUUUUGGCAAUAUAUGAACCAAAAACAAUUAAAUUAAAAAGAGAGACUUUUAAAAGUUAGAGAUUGCCUUUUAAAAGCUUAUUAAAAUCAGCAUGUUAGAUGUCUGUCUUUGAAUUAGCUUUACAGACUUGAUUGCCUUCAUUAAAGCUGACUGUUUGGGUGCUGCUUCAUGAAUGUUCAAGAGUCUGCUUUUUUUUAACUCCCCCCACAACGCUGAUUCUUACUACUUGUCAACUUGUACAUUCUCCUCUCGAUAGCAUUUUAAAGAACGUGCGCUUUUCGGAAGAAGCAUUCACCUCUAUGUGAAACGGUACAACAAAAACCCUGUCAUUAACACAACGAAACGACCAACAGGUGUUAUAACAGAGGUGAGUUUAGAAGAUGGAUUUAAAGAGGAGAGUCUUUAUGUAUCAGGAAAGUAUUUCCAGUUGCCCUGGGCAGUGUGGAAGAAGGCAUGGAGACAAGAGUGACAAAAAGCAUCAAUUAAAAUACCAACCUCGAGAAAGGAAGUUAUUAUCAAAAAAGCAAUUUUCCUUUGGUGCACUUCAGUUAUGUCUGGUGUUUAAUCUUAAUCAUUUGCAGUUUUUUCUCCUCUGAAAUAGACCCCAUAUUGUAAAGUCGGGUCUAAGGAAUCUUCCAGAUUAGAAGACAAAUUUGUAUCAGUGUAUAAUUUUGGGAAGUGAGAUGGAGGUACCUGCAGCAGAUGACACACAGGGCUCAGUUUCUUAUUCAGCUACAAGUCAGCAGGGGCACUCCCUGACCAUCUGUGUUCUAUAAAUUACAGUAACACCGGCACAUGCUGCUUGUAAAUCACCAAUGAACAGGCUUUACCUUGUGACACACUACAUGAACCCUGUUGGAUAUUCCAAUAAACUCUCAUAAACCAUCUGAUAUAAACUCUGGAUUAUAUUUCUUUGGGGGUUGGAAAACCUGGACUUUUCUUUACUUGCAUGAACUUAUGUGUAAAUUGAAGAUGUGCCCUGGAUUGCAGAUUAUCAGGCAUUCUUAGUGUAGUAUUCUUACAUUGCAAUGGUGCAAGUAUUGCCAUAAAAGCAACGUUAAGAAUUCAUUUUAUCUUUCUGAGGAGAACUUGCUACUGGCCACUGUUUGGGGAGGGAUAAUGAACUAGGACCAUUGGUUUCACCCAUCUUGGUAGUCACAGGUGUGUCUACAUGUGCACUUCAAUGCGCAGUAGCAUAUUCUACUGUGCAUUAAAGCAUCAUAUCAAAAACAGUGUAAUAGGUUAAUGUGAAGUAGAAUUAGUCUACUGUGCAUUAAACAUCACUAAAAAGGCAUCUGCUUUUGCUACUCCACAUUAGGGCAGCCUAAUGCACCUUUAUCUAGUACCUCAUAUUAGCGGUAUUAAACUUAAUGCCCAGUAGCAAAAGUGCAUUAAUGAACAUGUAGACGCACCCACAAUGGACCAGAUUCUCAAAAGUGUACUCAUCUUGGAUAGUACUUUUUACUGUUUCAGUGGGAUCACCUGCUGCUGUUACUUGUUAGCUGCUACGCACUCUAAAUUAGCAUCUCAGAAGUUGGCCCUCUUUUCCUAAAAUGAUUUUGUCUCUUCUUUUUCCGUACUGUAAGUGAAUCAAAGAUCAUUAGUGAAGCCCAAAAAUAAAUCCAGACCUCCUCUCUGCCAUGCUAGUAAGUUCAAGACCAUCCCAUCCCAUCUCAUCUCUCAAAGGAAUUUGUCAUUCUUCUCUACCUUUGUACAUGUUCAAAUGGACAUCCCCAUCCUGCCCUUUCUGUAGUGUCCAACAAUAAUAAGACAUGAUAGUGCUAUUUCUGAGUUUUAAUAAGAUUCAGAAAGCAUUCACGUGGAUGAUUAAAUCACUGGAAAGAAGCUAAAUCAUGUUUUGGCAUUUCAUGGAUGUGUGCAUGAAGAUCAUGGACCCAAAAUUCCAGAGUCUAGUUCAUCUGUCUGAUGCACAAGUAGACUUUGGUGUGAUUCUUUCCCACAGUGCUGAAGUUCCUGCAAACUCAUUAAUGCAUCUACUUUUGUAAUAACUUCCAUUGUACCUUACAACUGAGUCAUAAAAAAGCAGUGAGAAGGAGGACCUGCUUACCUUUCACAUAAACAGUUUUACAGGGACUCAAGCAGGUUGGAACAGUAUCUGACUUUAACACACUGAAGACAUGUACUGUAAACCCAGAUUGCAAAGACAGUAUAACUAAAACAAGACUGCAAAAGUAUCAUGAGCACUAGUUCUGUUGGCACGUAUGCUUCAGUACUAAAAUAACAAGUACUUUUAGAACAUGCCCAAUUGUAUAUAUAAUAUUUAGGAUCUUUUAAACACAUAAUGCCAUUCUUUAAGUACCAUGGCCCAGUCUGAAGUUUCAGGGAUUUAUUAAUAUUGGCAAAAAUAUUUGCUCAUAACUUUGGGAAGUUCAUGACAUACCUUGUAUCACAAGGGAUUUCAUUCAUUUUUCCAUUUUUUUCCAGACACCAUCAAUAAAUUCAUUCAGAGCUCUUAAUCUACUGAGCUAGAAUGUAGUUAAAAGGCUGUUGGAAAUUCUCAACAGAAUGUUCUAAGAAAGCAAAAAUAUGAAGAAAGAGGCCCGUUGUAUUAUUUGUUUUGUUCUAUUCCUUAUGCAUCUAAAUAUAUGUAAUGGAAUCCAAAGGGAUUUCUUUUUAGGUCUGCAGUGGAAAGCAAAAGCUAAACAUACAUGCACAAACAAAGCUGUAACAGAUUUACCAGUUCUUCAGAAAAAUGUGGCAAACCAAGCUGCUGCCUAAUUUUAAAGCAAGCUCCUGGUGCUGGAAACAUCGUGUGUCACUAAAAUACUUGGAGAGUUAAGGUCUGAGAAGGAAUGUCCUUAGCUUAAGACACUGCUCUGCUAGUAAACAGCCUGCAUAAAUGCCAUUGAAGGUUCCACGUUCAUUGUCUCUGUGUGAAUUCCAGAAUCAAUAUUCUACACUGCAUAAUUAAAAGUUUAUUUGUUAUCUGUUAGACCUGCAAACUCUCCCCAGUAUCGACUCAUUAAGGUGGGCUCUAUCCUUUUUCAGCAAUAAUACUGAUCCUUCAGACCCAUUUUAUGACUCUAGUUACUCCUGUGGAACUGCAGUGUGUACAGAUUAUGCCCCCAGUGAUUAUGCUGCAUACCCUUUGGUAGGCUUUUCAAAUGUGUUCAACUGUGGCCUGACUGCUCUGUUUGCACUGAGGUAAAGCAGAGAUCACAGUGAGAGUAGAGUGUGUCUCGUACUAAAUGUUCUUCUGAAAGUCCUGUCUUUCAGCUUCAGUGGGUUUGUGGUGAUGUAAAUGCUUGAAAACUAGUAAGCAUUUCUGUUGAUGAUAUACCAGGAGGGGAAAAAGGUCCAGGUUCUUGUUUUUUAGUUGUGUUGGUUCUGAAGCUAGUAAAAUUGGGCCACUAAUUUGGACAUAUAUGGCUUAGGAUAGGUCUGUGGAGCAAAAAGGUAGUGUUUUCACUUAAUCGUGUUUCAAAAUACAUCUAACUCCCAAUAAAAAGGGCAUCAGGACCUAAAAUGCAAAAGAGAUCUUUUGAGUAAAAACAAGCAUUUUGCAAUGUUAAGGCAAAUAUUUAACUGUUUCUUGCAAUGGUAGGGUUCUAGAUCAAGGGAAAACAUUGGUUUCUGUAGGCAAAGGGAACAAGGGAAAAGGCCUGUGUGCCCUAAAACCAAUCUCUUUUUACAUAGAAAAAAGGAAUAUAAUAUAUCUCACUACUCCUGUAUUUUCCUAGCAAAGGAUUUGGUUUGGAACUGGAGGAAACAUUUGUCUUUUCACUUUCAGAUGCUAGUCCAACUCAAACUAGCUUCCCAAGAUGAUGGGUAACAUAAUCUAGGGCAGAGAGAAACACUUUUGCCCAUAAAAUCAAACCAAUAACAGGGUGAAAAACAAAAUCCAUUUUUGGUGCUCUCACUUUGGGCUCAGUUCUUACAUUUCCACUGUCUAUAACUUUGGCUUUGUUCCUUCUGUUCAUAUUUUUCCACAUCACAACCAUUGUAAUAUUACCCAGGAACACCCCUGCUUCAGCUCCUGCUCUGCUCAAAUUUACCUUUGUGCAUUUCUGGCCUUUGCUCCUGAUUACUACAUUUCUUUUUCCAGCACUUCUGUAAGUCCCAACUGUAGACUCUAACAUGUAGAUAACGCCAUUGUACAUUUUCUUAUUAGUUUUAACAUUAUCCCUACAACAUCCUUGCCCAUCUUUCUAAAUACCUCUGGUGGCUUUCCAGCUAUUACAAGAUUCAAUUAAAAAUGAAUCACCAUGGUCCAGUUUCAGAUCCUCUAAAUCAGCAGAGCCCCCUUGACCUCAGUGGAUGCUAGACAGUUCAUAACAGUUGGAUGUCUUCCCCCUUACUUUCUACUGGCUGCACUGAAUCACUCAGUAGAAAGUCUAAGCGAGGCUCCAGCAGUAUAUAAUCUCGGUUUGAUGUUCUGCAGUGGGAUGAAUAUCAUAACUAAGUAAAGGCAUGAAGUAACUCUACCUUGUUUUAUUUAAUAUUUUAAAUGUCAAGUUUAACUUAGGUUAUUCAUGCCACUUCAGGAAACCCGAGGGAGAGAAAAAAAAUGCAAGCCUAAAAAAUUCAAAGACUUACAGAUAUCCUUAACUUUGUGCACUUUGGCUAAUCCCAUUGAAAUCAGACUACCUACAUGGAAAUAAGUGAGAUUACUCACGGUACAUAAAAUUAAGUAUGCGCAUAGGUCUUAUACGAUAUGGGCACUACAUUUUAAAUUAGAUACAUGUUUGUUUAAUAUGGUGGUUCAGUUCAGCUCAAUGAUCUGACUUAUUUGUAAUGGCAAGUUAGCUGAGACCCUUUACCGUGGCAACAAGAAGUAUUCAGUUGCCUCUGUAUUGUAGUAGUUCCUCAAUCAAUAUAUGUACACAGAUACACACACGUAUCAAUACAGAAGACAGUGUGUAAAAGAAGACAUACAGAUUUCAAAAGUGGCCAGUGAGUUUAAGUGUUUUAAUUUUUAUGGAUCCUAAAAUCAACUUUAAAGGGGCUUGAACUUCACGGACUGUUUUUUCAUGAGCACACACAUACAAACACACACACAUACACAUAGAGGAAGAGUAGUCAGUACUUUCCACAAAAAGGUCUGCAUACUUUUUAGUUGACUUAUGCAAAAGUUGUUCAAAAGCAAGGAGAAAAAUAAAGGAGUGAGUUAUAUGAGUGCUGGUGACAUACAGCUUUACAUGUAAAAUAUUUAAGUCAAACAAAAUAGCAUCCAAAAUAGAGAUGCAAUUAUGUUUUCUUGGAAGUGGGCUUUGAAUUACACCUCCAUCCUACAAACCUAGACUAUGAAAUGUGCUUCAGUUUUCCCCUCUUAGUGAUUCUUUUUUUCCUCCAACAUUAUCAUCAACAUGGUGUGUUAUUCUAAAUCAACCCUCAAACUCCCAGAAGCUAGGCGUUUCAUUACGUUCACAGAUCUGUCCCCAAAUAUUAAAAGAACAAAAUAGUCAACGUCACCAUUUUUCAUGGUUAUUCUUAAAUUUCUUAAAGUAUACCCUCUAAAAACAGGUGUAGAGAACAAGCAUUGGAGGAAGGUGAUAUCUUUUGAUUGUUCUGAUCCUCUUCUCUUUAAAUCAGUGUAGUUCUCCUGGGGUGGCUGAAGCUAUGCCACUUUACACCAGUUGAGGUUCCCACCUAAUGACUGGUGUUGGUAUGGUAUAAAAGAGUGUGGGUCUGUUUAUGGCAUGACUCUUAGUGAUAGAAGGACAGCCAUGUACAACAUAGCGUAUACCAUAAAAAUCAAGUUAAGUCUCAAAACGUGCUAAGAAGAGCAUUUUAUUGACUCAGUAGCGGGAGACAACGUGUAAAAAAAAUAGCAGUGCUUCUCUUUUUUUAUGUUUUUUUCUUUAUUUCUUUGUCA